GAGUUUGAUCGUGGCUCAGGAUGAACGCUGGCGGCGUGCCUAAUACAUGCAAGUCGAGCGAACGGACGAGAAGCUUGCUUCUCUGAUGUUAGCGGCGGACGGGUGAGUAACACGUGGAUAACCUACCUAUAAGACUGGGAUAACUUCGGGAAACCGGAGCUAAUACCGGAUAAUAUUUUGAACCGCAUGGUUCAAAAGUAAAAGACGGUCUUGCUGUCACUUAUAGAUGGAUCCGCGCUGCAUUAGCUAGUUGGUAAGGUAACGGCUUACCAAGGCAACGAUGCAUAGCCGACCUGAGACGGGUGAUCGGCCACACUGGAACUGAGACACGGUCCAGACUCCUACGGGAGGCAGCAGUAGGGAAUCUUCCGCAAUGGGCGAAAGCCUGACGGAGCAACGCCGCGUGAGUGAUGAAGGUCUUCGGAUCGUAAAACUCUGUUAUUAGGGAAGAACAUAUGUGUAAGUAACUGUGCACAUCUUGACGGUACCUAA
rnacentral:rRNA from 1 species